GUUAUGGUUUGUAUUUUUAUCCGAGUUACUUCAGUGAUAAAGAGUUUGUUUUGUACUCUGGCAGGCACCAAAAGAGGCCGAGGGGACUGACACGAAUGCAGCCCGCCUGCCGAAGCACGACGAUGGUAUGUUCACAAUGGUUUAGAUGGAAAUGCCCUGACGGGCAGUCCUGUAAUGAUCCCUCCGCUGGUUCACCAACGGAGA
rnacentral:misc_RNA from 1 species